GCUGAUCACCUGCGACGAGCUCAAGGGGAUAAUGGCGUCGCUCGGGUACAACCCCACCACGGAGGAGGUGAGGGAGAUGAUGAGGCGGGGCGACGCGGACAAGGACGGCCUGCUCAGCAUGGAGGAGUUCCUGGAGAUGAACGCCGCCGAACUGGACCCGGGCGACCUUGCUGGCUUGCUCCAGACCGCCGCCGCGUUGCUGGGUCCUGCGGCGGGGGACGACGGGGAUGUGACGGCGGAGAUUCUGUUCCAGGUGCUGAGCUGCGAGGAUGGUGCGAGCCUGGAGGACUGCACGGAAAUCAUAGCUAGCUUGGACGCGGACGGUGACGGAGCGGUCAGCUUUGAGGACUUCAAGAUCAUAGCUCAAGCUCUCCGCUAAGA
rnacentral:lncRNA from 1 species